rnacentral:rRNA from 1 species
UACGUAGGGGGCAAGCGUUGUCCGGAAUCAUUGGGCGUAAAGCGCGUGUAGGCGGUUCGAUAAGUCUGCUGUGAAAGUCCAGGGCUCAACCCUGGGAUGCCGGUGGAUACUGUCAGGCUAGAGUACGGAAGAGGCGAGUGGAAUUCCCGGUGUAGCGGUGAAAUGCGCAGAUAUCGGGAGGAACACCAAUUGCGAAGGCAGCUCGCUGGGACGUUACUGACGCUGAGACGCGAAAGCGUGGGGAGCAAACAGG